AGAGUUUGAUCAUGGCUCAGGAUGAACGCUAGCUACAGGCUUAACACAUGCAAGUCGAGGGGCAUCAGUUGGUUUGCUUGCAAACCAAAGCUGGCGACCGGCGCACGGGUGAGUAACACGUAUCCAACCUGCCUCAUACUCGGGGAUAGCCUUUCGAAAGAAAGAUUAAUAUCCGAUAGCAUAUAUUUCCUGCAUGGGUUUUAUAUUAAAGAAAUUCGGUAUGAGAUGGGGAUGCGUUCCAUUAGUUUGUUGGCGGGGUAACGGCCCACCAAGACUACGAUGGAUAGGGGUUCUGAGAGGAACGGUCCCCCACAUUGGAACUGAGACACGGUCCAAACUCCUACGGGAGGCAGCC
rnacentral:rRNA from 1 species